rnacentral:lncRNA from 1 species
CUUUAAACAUUUUAGAUACAUUACCUUCUUAUUAAAAUGUAUUUUGUGAGAUAGUUACUAUUAUUUUCAUCUCACAAGUGGGGAAAUUAUAGAACAAAGAAGUUAGGUAACUUGCCCAGGGCCACACAACUAGUAAGUGGUAGAACCAGGAUUAACCUCAGACCAGCCCCAGAGUUUUUGCUAUUAACUACCACACCAUUGCGCCACUCCCAAACCAGAGGGAGCAGUGGGUUGGAUGCAGGUGGACCCCAUCCUAAUUCCAAUCCUCCAGUAGGCGUUCAGAAAAAUGAAGUACCCAGUAUAAUCAUUCAUUGUUAUUAAGUGUGCUUUAUGUCUCAGGCAAUACACACAAAUCUCUCACAUGAAUUUGUUAUUUUGGCCCUCAGGGCAACUCUGUGGGAUAGGGGGAGGGUUAUUGUUGCUGUUUUACAGAUGGGGAAGCUGAGGCCCAGAGAAGUUAAGUAAGUUGUCUAAGUUCACAAAGUUACCAGAAGAUUGUGGAGUGGUCUUCCAGGGAGAGUUAUCUUGUAUCAGGAAGGAGAGAUGAUUACUUAGGAAAGCCCAAGAAACAACAGGUAUUUGAAAGCUAUAGCAGUUCAUCUGGGGUUGAUCUGGGAGCAUACAGCAAAAAAAGAGCUAAAAUGCAAGGCACCAACGUAGAAAAGCCCACCUGGUCUCUCUUCUUAGGGUGGCUCCUCUCUGUCUCUCUGCCUCUGCCUCUUGUCCUAGCCCAGCAUGGCCGCAGGUCCCAGGUUCUGUGACAUCACAGUGCAGUGCCCACAGCUCACUGUUGGUUCCUGCCAUUGAGAUUAUCUGAUUGGCCACUGGCCAGCCAAUGGUGGAUCAGACUUUGGAGCAGGUGAUCCUUGGACGCCCACAGUACAUCACCUUCAUGAGCGCAUCAGUGAACACCAGUCUAAGGAAGACAUCUCUGAACGUAAUUUUGGAGAUUUUGAUGAGUUCCAUUGAAACAAGGAGGAAUGUGAUGUCCAGUAUCAGUUCUGCAGACCCAAGGACAAAGAAAAUUCUGUGAUAAACUCAUCCAGUGUGACUGUAAUGUGGGUAUCUAUUUGAUACCUCCAAGUAACUGUUUAUUCUUGUGCCAGUUGAGUAGAUGGUACGGGCCAGUUGGUGUUGAUUAGUGAACCACGGACAAAGGGCAUAUGUCACAUGAGUUGCUCCUGGAUAAAGUCACCCAGUCACUUCCUGAUGAAUAUCCUGCAUAAACUCCAAAGACAAAAGAGAGUUAAGGUUGUUUUUCUCACCUUAGACCAGGCAGUGAUAGAAGAACUGGGGGAAGAGAUAAUUGUAUUUAUCUUGGUGAGGGUGACAAAUCAUGGCAAAUGAGCAAAAUGAAAAAGGUUUGCAGAUUUCAACAAACUUCUAAAAGAUCAGCUUACAGUCAUGUAUACAUCUCUUCCUUUGUUUCUAGUUUAUUUGCAUCUCAUUACUAUGUUCUCGGUUUAGGAUACAAGACACCGGACUUUCAAAUCAACAAUUGUUUCAAAAGACUCCUACUGGAUUCCUGCUAGUGAUGGGAGAAAAUUAUCAUUCUGCUAGUUAAUCUGUAGCCAGAGAUGAUUAAGGAGGUCAUUAAAGGAAAACAAGCUGCCCACCAUGCUGAUGCCUGGUUGUUCAGAUCGUUGAGGUGGUGUAGAGAUGACGCACACUGGCUCAGUUUACCCACAUUUGGAUCUACGGACCUGCAAGUCCUCUGUCAUGACACACCAGCCCUGGGAUAUCACAUAAGCUACAGGUCAGACGCUGCUUUCCAGACAGAAUUAUGGAGAAGACAACCAUCAUUUUGGAGCUAUAGAUAGUGGAUUUCAAGAGAGUACCAAGGUUGCUACUCCAUAAUGGCCAGAAGAGCAAGCCAAAAACAUCAGAGUAAACACAGAAACCUCACAUCUCAGGGAGGUUUGCUUAACAAACAUAUCAAGACCUGGGAUACCUGGAAAACUGCAGGCCCUGCUGGAAAUUUUCCAUGCUCUUCAUUCGUUCUCCUGUAUUUCCUAACGCCAAUAAAAGAGGAGAUCCCUGAGGACACGCCUCUCUUUAAUAUCUGCUUUCCUUGCAAAGAUAAGCCAAAGACCAAUGUAUGUCGUAUCUGCCCCCUUCAGCCUUUGGGACACAAUUUUGAUAAACCUUCCUCUAUUUCACAUUAACAGAAAAUGUCACUUCUCCCUUCCUAAUCUCCAAUGCAAACCUAACAUUUUAGCCCAACGUUUCUCAUGCUUGCACAAGCCAGCUUUUAAAUUCUGCUCAAUUCCAAUUUAAGAGUAGGCAUUGUGCUAGACAUUUAUAGCCCAAGAUCUGUAAGCAAAUAUAAUUCUGUGGACUAAGAAAGCUAACAUUUAAAGAACGGAAAGAGUUUUUUAUUUAAAAAAAAAACGCGAAUCACUAUCACUGCCUUUAUUAAUUCUCUAAGUACAAGCUGUUGUAAAUCUUCUCAGUGUUAGAUCCCACUGGAGAGUGAUUCAUCAUAUUGCACAUAAGCUCACUCCAGGCUGAAAUCAUAUCUAUAACGCAAGGGUGAUUAUGGUUGAACACUGGGCACCAAGAGGCUCUCUAGGAGUGCAGAAUGGAAUAUGGAAAAAGCACAUCCAAAGCACUGAGGGCUUUCUGAAUUGAUGGAUUUUUAAAAAAAUAAUUAAAACUAAGAUGGAGACUGGUGACCUAGAGUCUGAGUCAUGUAUUUGUGAAAACAUUUUAAGAUCUCCAGAUCACUUCCCAGCACAUCUCCUGCUGCUAUUGUUAUUAGAAGUAUCUCUUCUUAUUAAUCUUAAGGGAGGGCUACAGUCUCCAGGGAUACUUAGACCUGAUUAUCA